UACGUAGGGUCCGAGCGUUAAUCGGAAUUACUGGGCGUAAAGCGUGCGCAGGCGGUUUUGUAAGCCAGAUGUGAAAUCCCCGGGCUUAACCUGGGAAUGGCAUUUGGGACUGCAAGGCUUGAGUGCGGCAGAGGGGGGUGGAAUUCCACGUGUAGCAGUGAAAUGCGUAGAGAUGUGGAGGAACACCGAUGGCGAAGGCAGCCCCCUGGGUCGACACUGACGCUCAUGCACGAAAGCGUGGGGAGCAAACAGG
rnacentral:rRNA from 1 species